GCCGGUUCCAGGAGAAGGAGAGCGCGUUCCGGUCGGAGCUGGUGUUCCUGUCCCGGCUCCACCACAAGCACCUCGUCGGCCUGGUGGGCUACUGCGAGGAGGCGGAGGAGCGGCUGCUGGUGUUCGAGUACAUGAAGAACGGCGCGCUCUACGACCACCUGCACCCCAAGGCCUCGGCGGCGGCGGUGGCGUCGUCCUGGAAGCUGCGCAUCAAGAUCCUGAUGUGCAUAUUACCAUACUGGUGAACAAUCAGGGGCUAACUCUUUUUAGGACUCGAUAAACAACAUCAACGGAAGUAUGUAACAUGGGAAACUGCUAUGCAUAUUUAGGUUCACAAUGUUUCCCAUCCUCUGCUCAAAAGUCUUGGCGUGAAGAAUCUCCCAGCUGUAAUUGGUCGAACCGUGAAUGGUGAGGAGCUCCUUCUGAAGGAUGGCAUUUCGGUGAAAGAUCUCAGAUCUGGUGUCAAGGAAUUGAAGACACUGCUAGAUAGUUGUGAGAAGAAGAAUAAUAAGGUAUUAUCGAAUCUAGCUAAUAAGAAACCUUCUGGUCAAUGGGAAGAAAUCAAGAAGAUUCCUCUGCUCACAGCUUCCAACUUUGAGGAAAUCUGUGGAGAGAAGACUCCAGUAUGCAUCAUUGGUGUUUUCGGGUCAAACAAAGCCAAGGGGCAGCUUGAAGCAGUCCUGUCUGAGAUAUCUAAGAAGACUCUGAUAAGGGGGCAGAACUAUAAUUCCAGAAAUGUUGUCUCCUAUGCUUUGCUGGAUAAGUACAAACAGUCUGCAUUCCUGUCAUCGUUUGACAAGUCUGGAUAUAGGUCAUCUGACAAGCUGCUCAUCGCCUACAAGGAACCCAUUAUUAUUAUGUUAUUAUAUUUAGAACUGAAGGAAGAUUUGGAUGCAAUGUUUCCCAUGUGAAUACAUACAGUGGAAUUGCAGAAAAAUCAAUGGAUAAGUUUGCUGCAUUGAUAUCAUCUUUCAGAUACCCCAGCCCCCGUGCCAGUGGCCUUCGUGCUCCUUUAAAGGAUGUGAAAAACACACUUUCUGUGAGAUCUAUUCUUAAAGCUCCAGAAAAAGGCACAUUCAGACGCACAGCAAAGAAAACAGAUAUGCAUUACCGAGCUUCAACGAACUGAACUCGAGCUUUGUUGUUUCAUCUAUGAUCGUUAUUUCCAUAACCGAGUCCGCCAUUCAGUUAUGCAGAGAGCAGCAGCUUUAAAUGCAUUUUACAAUGGGUACAUAUGCAUUGCAAAUUCUGACCUCGCAUGAUGUUGGUGCAUGUUCAAUUAGAUCCUGCUGGACGUCUGGUUAUCACAGGGGAUCCAGAGCAGCCUGAUAAUCCUUGGGGGAUCACUCCGUUCAAGAAGGUGGUCAACUUGCCAUCAAGAAUCAAUCCUCACCAAACAUCCGCUGUUGUCACGCUUCAUGGUCAGCUGUUUGUGCGUGCACCAUUUGGGUCAUCCUGAUAUGUAGAUAUGAAAUCAUUUUUAGUUCAGUUUUGUUGACUGUGGCGCCUCUUCACCGGUGAUAUUCCUUGAUAUCACUAGGGUUUAUGUCAGUUCUGUUGAGGAAAUAGGAUUUCAUUUGAGCAGAUACAUGAUGUCAAGCUGACUUAGCAGAACCCUUCUGUGGUUGGAUGCUGGUUGCUGGUGUUGCGAUCUGUUGCCACCUUGUUUAUUGUUACAGUAGUGCCAUAAAAUUAGCUGGUUCAUGCGUGUAUUCCAGUUUCGUAGAGAAAGGAGAUGUUGGUCGUAGUAGGGCUAAUUUGACAUUAUGAUUACUUAUUAUUCUUUAAAUACCUCUCUGGAUCA